GGCCCUCUCUUAGCGUUUUUCUACUUCACUCUUGGCGUUGCAACAUCCUUGGCCCUCGUUUACUGGUACACGGACUGCGACCCGGUCUUGAGUGGUGCCAUCAAAAGCUAUGACCAGAUCGUUCCUCAUUACAUGACUGAAAGACUGGCCAGAGUAAUGAUGCUACGAGGUCUGUUUCUGGCUGGUCUUGUAGGAGCUUCUACAAGCACAGUUUCGUCGGUCGUCAACUCACACGCAGCAAUAUUUUACGUCGACGUCAUCAAGCCCCACGUGAGGAUGACAGCGCGGAAAGCUGUUUUCAUAAUGCGCGCCCUGGGUAACAUGUUCUUGCCUUACUUCAAGCUCGCUGCACUGUUCAAUAACGCUUAGAAUGCAAAAAAGUGCCUUGGAUACUUUUGAAAGUGCGACAAUG